CCUACGGGAGGCAGCAGUGGGGAAUAUUGCGCAAUGGGCGAAAGCCUGACGCAGCAACGCCGCGUGGGGGAUGAAGGCCUUCGGGUUGUAAACCUCUUUCAGCAGGGAAGAAGCGAAAGUGACGGUACCUGCAGAAGAAGCACCGGCUAACUACGUGCCAGCAGCCGCGGUAAUACGUAGGGUACAAGCGUUGUCCGGAUUUAUUGGGCGUAAAGAGCUCGUAGGCGGUUAGUCACGUCGGAUGUGAAAUCCCGGAGCUUAACUCCGGGCCUGCAUUCGAUACGGGCUGACUCGAGUGUUGUAGGGGAGACUGGAACUCCUGGUGUAGCGGUGAAAUGCGCAGAUAUCAGGAAGAACACCGGUGGCGAAGGCGGGUCUCUGGGCAACUACUGACGCUGAGGAGCGAAAGCGUGGGGAGCAAACAGGAUUAGAUACCCUGGUAGUCCACGCCGUAAACGGUGGGCGCUAGGUGUGGGGAACAUUCCACGUUCUCUGCGCCGCAGCUAACGCAUUAAGCGCCCCGCCUCGGGGAGUACGGCCGCAAGGCUAAAACUCAAAGGAAUUGACGG
rnacentral:rRNA from 1 species